rnacentral:rRNA from 1 species
AGUGAACGCUGGCGGUAGGCCUAACACAUGCAAGUCGAACGGCAGCACAGUAAGAGCUUGCUCUUACGGGUGGCGAGUGGCGGACGGGUGAGGAAUACAUCGGAAUCUACUUUUUCGUGGGGGAUAACGUAGGGAAACUUACGCUAAUACCGCAUACGACCUACGGGUGAAAGCAGGGGAUCUUCGGACCUUGCGCGAUUGAAUGAGCCGAUGUCGGAUUAGCUAGUUGGCGGGGUAAAGGCCCACCAAGGCGACGAUCCGUAGCUGGUCUGAGAGGAUGAUCAGCCGCACUGGAACUGAGACACGGUCCAGACUCCUACGGGAGGCAGCAGUGGGGAAUAUUGGACAAUGGGCGCAAGCCUGAUCCAGCCAUACCGCGUGGGUGAAGAAGGCCUUCGGGUUGUAAAGCCCUUUUGUUGGGAAAGAAAAGCAGCAGGUUAAUACCCCGCUGUUCUGACGGUACCCAAAGAAUAAGCACCGGCUAACUACGUG